rfam:Tetraodon nigroviridis, WGS project CAAE01000000 data, contig: CNS0BVY8, chromosome: undetermined
CUAAAGGCUCUUUUAAGAGCCACCCACAUUCAACAGAGCAAUAUU